rnacentral:telomerase_RNA from 1 species
AAUGGGUGGUAAGAGACUGUUGUAGCCUCGAUAUUUCUUAACCCUAAACCUACCUUGGUUUGGGUAACUAAUUGUUGAGGUCUUUCUCUAGUGUUUCCCUCGUGUGGUUAAAAAAAGAAAAACUAAAGCCCGACGAGUGCUGUCUCGACAAGAGGAAUUGUAGGUCGGGUUGGGUAUGCUUCAAUGUGUACUAACAGCCAUCAGGUCCUCGCUUCUUGGCCACCCCACUUCUUUU